rnacentral:lncRNA from 10 species
ACAGAUAUGGAAACUGAGCCCUCACACAUGGACUGAAUUCUGACAAGCAGAGGAUAAAGGCAGAACAACAUGACUGAAGGCGAUGAGGAACAGCUGAUCACCUGUGGAAGUCAUUUGUCCUAAAUUGUCAUGGACAGACCAUGUGCCUUACAGCAAGAAAAUUCUGUGAAUAAACAGGAAGCCAGCCAGCCAGGGAAGAUGCUUUUGUGAUAUAUCCCAGCAUGCUGAUGACCCCAAGGAGGACCACUGGAUACCUAGCAAGGAGCUGGCUGCAGCAUACCAUGAAUCCUCACAGCAACUUAAUGAGAUACUGGCCUCAGAACUGGGAGUAGCUUCUUGUUUGGACCAAUCCUUUGCCUCCUUCCAGUGUGCUCAUUGAGAUAUUGGAAACCAUGUCUAGGAAAAAGAAGAACUGAUUGAAGAGUGGCAACCAGAACCUCUUGUUCCUCCUGUCCCAAAAGACCAUCCUGCUCUCAACUACAACAUCGUUUCAGGCCAUGUAAAACAUGCUUGCUUCCCCUUCACCUACUGCCAUGAUUGUCAGUUUCCUGAGAUCUUCCUCCCAGAAGCUUUUACUCUGUACAGAAGCCUGUACAGCCUGCAGAACC